rnacentral:pre_miRNA from 1 species
GAGUGUGGAUGGUGUUCAGCACGAAGGACAGUCAUGUUUGUCUGAGUGUGGAUGGUGUUCAGCACCAAGGACAGGCAUGUUCGCGU